rnacentral:rRNA from 1 species
CUACAGGCUUAACACAUGCAAGUCGAGGGGCAGCAUGGUCUUAGCUCGCUAAGGCCGAUGGCGACCGGCGCACGGGUGAGUAACACGUAUCCAACCUGCCGUCUACUCUUGGACAGCCUCCUGAAAGGAAGAUUAAUACAAGAUGGCAUCAUGAGUCCGCAUGUUCACAUGAUUAAAGGUAUUCCGGUAGACGAUGGGGAUGCGUUCCAUUAGAUAGUAGGCGGGGUAACGGCCCACCUAGUCUUCGAUGGAUAGGGGUUCUGAGAGGAAGGUCCCCCACAUUGGAACUGAGACACGGUCCAAACUCCUACGGGAGGCAGCAGUGAGGAAUAUUGGUCAAUGGGCGCAGGCCUGAACCAGCCAAGUAGCGUGAAGGAUGACUGCCCUAUGGGUUGUAAACUUCUUUUAUAAAGGAAUAAAGUCGGGUAUGGAUACCCGUUUGCAUGUACUUUAUGAAUAAGGAUCGGCUAACUCCGUGCCAGCAGCCGCGGUAAUACGGAGGAUCCGAGCGUUAUCCGGAUUUAUUGGGUUUAAAGGGAGCGUAGAUGGAUGUUUAAGUCAGUUGUGAAAGUUUGCGGCUCAACCGUAAAAUUGCAGUUGAUACUGGAUAUCUUGAGUGCAGUUGAGGCAGGCGGAAUUCGUGGUGUAGCGGUGAAACGCUUAGAUAUCACGAAGAACUCCGAUUGCGAAGGCAGCCUGCUAAGCUGCAACUGACAUUGAGGCUCGAAAGUGUGGGUAUCAAACAGGAUUAGAUACCCUGGUAGUCCACACGGUAAACGAUGAAUACUCGCUGUUUGCGAUAUACGGCAAGCGGCCAAGCGAAAGCGUUAAGUAUUCCACCUGGGGAGUACGCCGGCAACGGUGAAACUCAAAGGAAUUGACGGGGGCCCGCACAAGCGGAGGAACAUGUGGUUUAAUUCGAUGAUACGCGAGGAACCUUACCCGGGCUUAAAUUGCAGAUGAAUUACGGUGAAAGCCGUAAGCCGCAAGGCAUCUGUGAAGGUGCUGCAUGGUUGUCGUCAGCUCGUGCCGUGAGGUGUCGGCUUAAGUGUCAUAACGAGCGCAACCCUUGUUGUCAGUUACUAACAGGUUCCGCUGAGGACUCUGACAAGACUGCCAUCGUAAGAUGUGAGGAAGGUGGGGAUGACGUCAAAUCAGCACGGCCCUUACGUCCGGGGCUACACACGUGUUACAAUGGGGGGUACAGAGGGCCGCUACCACGCGAGUGGAUGCCAAUCCCAAAAACCUCUCUCAGUUCGGACUGGAGUCUGCAACCCGACUCCACGAAGCUGGAUUCGCUAGUAAUCGCGCAUCAGCCACGGCGCGGUGGAUACGUUCCCGGGCCUUGUACACACCGCCCGUCAAGCCAUGGGAGCCGGGGGUACCUGAAGUGCGUAACCGCGAGGAGCGCCCUAGGGUAAAACUGGUGACUGGGGCUAAGUA